rnacentral:rRNA from 1 species
CCCUUAGAUGUUCUGGGCCGCACGCGCGCCACACUGAUGCAUUCAACGAGCCUAUCCUUGACCGGCAGGUCCGGGUAAUCUUUGAAUCUGCAUCGUGACGGGGAUAGAUUAUUGCAAUUAUUAAUCUUCAACGAGGAAUGCCUAGUAGGCGCAAGUCAUCAGCUUGCGUCGAUUACGUCCCUGCCCUUUGUACACACCGCUCGUCGCUCCUACCGAUUGGGUGUGCUGGUGAAAUGUUCGGAUCGGCCGUUUGUCGCGGUUUCCGCGGCUCGUGGCUGAGAAGUUCAUUAAACCCUCCCACCUAGAGGAAGGAGAAGUCGUAACA